ACUCCCUAACUCUCCAAUUCCAAAAGCCAUAACUAAUUUGUUGCCCAACUCUCCAAUGUCAAAAGCCAUCACUAAUAUCCUACUCCCUAAUGUAAUGUCUGCAUAGUUACCUAAUGCAUUUUCUUACCAUCAUGCUACAAAUGAGGCUGCUGUAAAGUCUGCAGAAUCAUCUAAUGCAUUUUCUUACCAUCAUGCUGCAAGUAAGACUAAUGUAAAUUCUAGAGAACCACCUAAUGCAUUUUCUUACUAUGCUGCUAGUGAGCCUGAUGUAAA